rnacentral:rRNA from 1 species
UACGAAGGGUGCAAGCGUUACUCGGAAUCACUGGGCGUAAAGCGUGCGUAGGCGGUUGGUUAAGUCUGCUGUGAAAGCCCUGGGCUCAACCUGGGAACUGCAGUGGAUACUGGCCAGCUAGAGUGUGAUAGAGGAUGGUGGAAUUCCCGGUGUAGCGGUGAAAUGCGUAGAGAUCGGGAGGAACACCAGUGGCGAAGGCGGCCAUCUGGAUCAACACUGACGCUGAGGCACGAAAGCGUGGGGAGCAAACAGGAUUAGAUACCCCCGUAGUCC